AGAGUUUGAUCAUGGCUCAGAAUCAACGCUGGCGGCGUGCCUAACACAUGCAAGUCGAACGCGAAAGCCCGCAAGGGUAAGUAGAGUGGCGCACGGGUGAGUAACACGUGGACAACCUGCCUUCGAGUGGGGAAUAACCUUCCGAAAGGAGGGCUAAUACCGCAUAACACCUCGGGACACAAGUUCUGGGGUUGAAAAGAGCAAUUUGCUCGAAGAGGGGUCCGCGCCUGAUUAGCUAGUUGGUGAGGUAACGGCUCACCAAGGCUUCGAUCAGUAGCCGUCCUGAGAGGGAGCACGGCCACACUGGAACUGAGACACGGUCCAGACUCCUACGGGGGGCAGCAGUGGGGAAUUUUUGGCAAUGGGCGAAAGCCUGACCAAGCAACGCCGCGUGGGUGAUGAAGUAUCUUGGUACGUAAAACCCUUUCGGCAGGGACGAACCUAAUGACGGUACCUGCGGAAGAAGCCCCGGCUAACUACGUGCCAGCAGCCGCGGUAAUAC
rnacentral:rRNA from 1 species